CAGCAGCCGCGGUAAUACGGAGGGUGCAAGCGUUAAUCGGAAUUACUGGGCGUAAAGCGCACGCAGGCGGUCUGACAAGUCAGAUGUGAAAUCCCCGGGCUUAACCUGGGAACUGCAUUUGAAACUGUCAGGCUGGAGUCUUGUAGAGGGGGGUGGAAUUCCAGGUGUAGCGGUGAAAUGCGUAGAGAUCUGGAGGAAUACCGGUGGCGAAGGCGGCCCCCUGGACAAAGACUGACGCUCAGGUGCGAAAGCGUGGGGAGCAAACAGGAUUGGAGACCCCCGUAGUCCAUGUCUCUUAUAC
rnacentral:rRNA from 1 species